rnacentral:rRNA from 1 species
GAUGAACGCUGGCGGCGUGCCUAAUACAUGCAAGUCGAGCGAACAGACGAGGAGCUUGCUCCUCUGACGUUAGCAGCGGACGGGUGAGUAACACGUGGAUAACCUACCUAUAAGACUGGGAUAACUUCGGGAAACCGGAGCUAAUACCGGAUAAUAUAUUGAACCGCAUGGUUCAAUAGUGAAAGACGGUUUUGCUGUCACUUAUAGAUGGAUCCGCGCCGCAUUAGCUAGUUGGUAAGGUAACGGCUUACCAAGGCAACGAUGCGUAGCCGACCUGAGAGGGUGAUCGGCCACACUGGAACUGAGACACGGUCCAGACUCCUACGGGAGGCAGCAGUAGGGAAUCUUCCGCAAUGGGCGAAAGCCUGACGGAGCAACGCCGCGUGAGUGAUGAAGGUCUUCGGAUCGUAAAACUCUGUUAUUAGGGAAGAACAAAAGUGUAAGUAACUAUGCACGUCUUGACGGUACCUAAUCAGAAAGCCACGGCUAACUACGUG